UACUAGAGGUCCCGCCUGCCCUGUGACCACAAAGUUUAACGGCCGCGGUAUCCUGACCGUGCGAAGGUAGCGUAAUCAUUUGUCUUUUAAAUAGAGACCUGUAUGAAUGGCAUAACGAGGGUUUAACUGUCUCCUUCCCCUAGUCAAUGAAAUUGAUCUGCCCGUGCAGAAGCGGACAUAAAUACAUAAGACGAGAAGACCCUAUGGAGCUUUAGACAAAAGAUCAAACAUGUAAAAAAACCAAAAACCCAAAAGGAACACAAAGACCGUAAAACCAGACGUAAACUGAUCCAAAUGUCUUCGGUUGGGGCGACCAUGGGGGAAAGAAAAACCCCCACGAGGAACAGGGAAUACCCCUAAACUUAGAGAGACACCUCCAAGUAACAGAAAAUCUGACCAAAAAUGACCCAGGAUAUUAAUCCUGAUCAACGAACCAAGUUACCCUAGGGAUAACAGCGCAAUCCUUUCCCAGAGUCCAUAUCGACGAAAGGGUUUACGACCUCGAUGUUGGAUCAGGACAUCCUAAUGGUGCAGCCGCUAUUAAGGGU
rnacentral:rRNA from 1 species